rnacentral:lncRNA from 1 species
AGUGAUACCAUCUAAUUUGCGUUCUUUUAGUCUAACAAUCUAUUUUCAACCAUAAAUUCACGGAGCCCAUCAAGCAUGAGACACAACACCAUUAUUGUAAUAAAAUUUACACUGAGAGAUCUAAUUCACCUAAUUUCCAUGCACACAUGAAUGGAUGCACACUUCAUUUGUAAUGCAAACUGAAGAGGCAUGAGCAGAAUCCUGUAUAGUUUCGUUGCUUGUGCAUAUAUAAAAGAUUGUGACCCUCCAUUGCAGAUCAUAAACACACUUAAGGUCACUGCAAAACAUAAGCGCAGGCUUGAUAUUAUAUCCCUUAGUUUACUCUUCAGAUUUUUCAGCACAUUGCCCACCUAAAACAAAGAUGAAAACAUGGAUUCCAUGACCAUGAGAACCUCUUCUAAAGGGGCACCACCAACACAUGGAAUCUGUCCUGGAAAUCACCUUUUCCAUUGUUCCAAUUAUCAACCUCCUAUGUAUCUCAUUAUAAUCCUGAAAAAUCUCUUUCUACUACAACUUUCGGGCAAUUGCAGCAGUAGCUUUCUUAUCAGAUUGGGACGACUGUGCUCCAAUUUCAACCUCCUACCCCACAUAUUCUUUAGAAAAGGAAGCUUUAGAGUGCUGCAGCCCUCGUGACAUUCCUAGCUCACAGACUGCUUGAGACUUGCAAAUGAUACCCCUGAUUCUUCAUCACAUGCUAACAAUGGACAUGAAGCAACGUGACGCAACUCCCAUACCGAUGCUGCAAUGUGGCACUGAAGACACAAGCUCCCGGCACAGCUUCAGACCGAUGGUGCAGGCAAAUUGU